rnacentral:misc_RNA from 1 species
GAUGAGGUAGGAGAUGGGAUUAACGCUGCCUGGCUCCCUGAAUGCCAUCCGAGAAGCGUGCCGCUGUGGCCGGCUGCUUCCUGGUUGGCAUUGAGGGAGUCAUGCAGGGUUUGCUCAUUUCCAUCUACGA